rnacentral:misc_RNA from 1 species
GAGAUUGGCGCUUGGGCUACCCGCCCGGCGUAAUGCCAACAUCCAUAUACACCUGUGAACCUGUGGCUCCCCCCUUCUUUGGGGGAGGACCGCAAAUCUUUACAACUCUGUGUAAUGAACGUGAUGUAUCAUAACAAAAUCA